rnacentral:rRNA from 1 species
CAAGCAAAAUGCAUUUCAGUUUGAACUCCCGAAACUAAGUGAGCUACUUCGAAACAGUCUUAAGGACAAACUCAUCUCUGUCGCAAUAGAGUGGGAUGAUUUCCAAGUAGAGGCAAUAAACCUACCGCACUUAGAAAUAGCUGGUUGCUCAAGAAAAGAAUAUAAGUUCAACCUUAAGCUUAUAAGUAUCUAAAAACCCCCAUAAAACUUAAGAAUUAUUCAAAUAAGGCACAGCUUAUUUGAAACAGGACACAACCUUCAAGAUAGGGUAACAUUUAUUAACAAGUAACAAGUGGGCCUAAGAGCAGCCAUCUCCUAAAAAGCGUUAAAGCUUUCUACUUAUUUAAUAUUAAUACCUAAAUUUACCUUUAACCCUUCACUAGUAUUGAGCAAUUUUAUAAGUCUAUAAAAGAUAUAAUGCUAGAACUAGUAACAAGAAAUAAACUUUCUCCAAAAUGUAAGCCUAAGCCAUAAUAGAUAGACUAAUGACAAUUAACGUAAAUGAGCACAUUGUAGCAACUAAUACAAGAAAAUUCUAUACUUAUUAACGUCAAUCUUACACUAGUAUAUUAAUGGAAAGAUAAAAGAAAAAGAAGGAACUCGGCAAAAUUCAGCCC